rnacentral:rRNA from 1 species
UAAGCAUAUCAAUAAGCGGAGGAAAAGAAACCAACAGGGAUUGCCCUAGUAACGGCGAGUGAAGCGGCAACAGCUCAAAUUUGAAAUCUGGCUCUUUCAGGGUCCGAGUUGUAAUUUGCAGAGGGUGCUUUGGCGUUGGCGGCGGUCUAAGUUCCUUGGAACAGGACAUCGCAGAGGGUGAGAAUCCCGUAUGUGGUCGCAUGCCUUCGCCGUGUAAAGCCCCUUCGACGAGUCGAGUUGUUUGGGAAUGCAGCUCUAAAUGGGAGGUAAAUUUCUUCUAAAGCUAAAUACCGGCCAGAGACCGAUAGCGCACAAGUAGAGUGAUCGAAAGAUGAAAAGCACUUUGGAAAGAGAGUCAAACAGCACGUGAAAUUGUUGAAAGGGAAGCGCUUGCAGCCAGACUUGCCUGUAGUUGCUCACCCGGGCUCUUGCCCGGGGCACUCUUCUGCAGGCAGGCCAGCAUCAGUUUGGGCGGUCGGAUAAAGGCCUCUGUCACGUACUUCCUUUCGGGGUUGACAUAUAGGGGAGGCGCAAUGCGACCAGCCUGGACUGAGGUCCGCGCAUCUGCUAGGAUGCUGGCGUAAUGGCUGUAAGCGGCCCGUCUUGAAACACGGACCAAGGAGUCUAACAUCUAUGCGAGUGUUUGGGUGUCAAGCCCGAGCGCGCAAUGAAAGUGAACGGAGGUGGGAACCCCUCGGGGCGCACCAUCGACCGAUCCUGAUGUCUUCGGAUGGAUUUGAGUAAGAGCAUAGCUGUUGGGACCCGAAAGAUGGUGAACUAUGCUUGAAUAGGGUGAAGCCAGAGGAAACUCUGGUGGAGGCUCGCAGCGGUUCUGACGUGCAAAUCGAUCGUCAAAUUUGGGCAUAGGGGCGAAAGACUAAUCGAACUAUCUAGUAGCU